rnacentral:rRNA from 1 species
GACGAACGCUGGCGGCGUGCUUAACACAUGCAAGUCGAACGGAAAGGCCCUGCUUGCAGGGUACUCGAGUGGCGAACGGGUGAGUAACACGUGGGUGAUCUGCCCUGCACUUCGGGAUAAGCCUGGGAAACUGGGUCUAAUACCGGAUAGGAGCCAUUUUUAGUGUGAUGGUUGGAAAGUUUUUUCGGUGUAGGAUGAGCUCGCGGCCUAUCAGCUUGUUGGUGGGGUAAUGGCCUACCAAGGCGGCGACGGGUAGCCGGCCUGAGAGGGUGGACGGCCACAUUGGGACUGAGAGACGGCCCAGACUCCUACGGGAGGCAGCAGUGGGGAAUAUUGCACAAUGGGCGCAAGCCUGAUGCAGCGACGCCGCGUGGGGGAUGACGGCCUUCGGGUUGUAAACUCCCUUCGCUAGGGACGAAGCUUUUGUGACGGUACCUAGAUAAGAAGCACCGGCUAACUACGUG